CCCUUAGAUGUUCUGGGCCGCACGCGCGCUACACUGAUGCAUUCAACGAGUAAUCUUUGACCUUGGUCGACAGAUCUGGGUAAUCUUUUGAAAUUGCAUCGUGAUGGGGCUUGCGGGUUGCAAUUACCCGCACCAACGAGGAAUUCCUAGUAAACGCAAGUCAUCAACUUGCAUUGAUUACGUCCCUGCCCUUUGUACACACCGCCCGUCGCUCCUACCGAUUGGGUGUGCUGGUGAAAUGUUCGGAUCGGCCGUUUGUCGCGGUUUCCGCGGCUCGUGGCUGAGAAGUUCAUUAAACCCUCCCACCUAGAGGAAGGAGAAGUCGUAACA
rnacentral:rRNA from 1 species